rnacentral:misc_RNA from 1 species
GAUGAAGAACGCAGCGAAAUGCGAUAAGUAGUGUGAAUUGCAGAAUUCAGUGAAUCAUCGAAUCUUUGAACGCACAUUGCGCCCCUUGGUAUUCCAUGGGGCAUGCCUGUUCGAGCGUCAUUUGUACCUUCAAGCUUUGCUUGGUGUUGGGUGUUUGUCUCGCCUUUGCGUGUAGACUCGCCUUAAAAUAAUUGGCAGCCGGCGUAUUGAUUUCGGAGCGCAGUACAUCUCGCGCUUUGCACUCAUAACGACAGCGUCCAAAAGUACAUUUUACACUCUUGACCUCGGAUCAGGUAGGGAUACCCCCUGAACUUAAGCAUAUCAAUAAGCGGAGGA